rnacentral:tRNA from 1 species
GGCUAUGAAUGAGCAUUUACGGGGACUCAUAAUCCCUUGGUCGCUGGUUCGAGUCCAGCCAGACCCA